rnacentral:rRNA from 1 species
ACAGCAGUAGCCACGGUAAUACGAAGGGUGCAAGCGUUAAUCGGAAUUACUGGGCGUAAAGCGUGCGUAGGCGGUGAGUUAAGUCUGCUGUAAAAUCCCCGGGCUCAACCUGGGAAUGGCAGUGGAUACUGGCUCGCUAGAGUGUGUCAGAGGAUGGUGGAAUUCCCGGUGUAGCGGUGAAAUGCGUAGAGAUCGGGAGGAACAUCAGUGGCGAAGGCGGCCAUCUGGGACAACACUGACGCUGAGGCACGAAAGCGUGGGGAGCAAACAGGAUUAGAUACCCCCGUAGUCCCUGUCUCUUAUAC